rnacentral:lncRNA from 1 species
UACGAACAUUGCCUGACUACGAAAAAGAUAGCAAAAUAUAAAUAAAGAAAAUAAAUGGGGUUUUAUUAGAUGGGGUCUCUCUCAAAUACAUAACCUUAGAUCGUAAAGAGAGAAAUACAUAACCUAUUGGAUCCAUGAGAUUAGUAGGAAAAACAAACAUUUCAUGAUAUCAAAAGGAAAAAGCUAAAGGCAAUCAUGCUAAAUGCUGAGUUUUGGACAGUAAAGGAAUGGUUGGCAAAAAGAAUACAUAGUAAAAUGAUGAAAUAAUGAAAGGUGUUUCAGUUUUUUUUUUCAUUUUAAUUUAAAAGCAAUUACCGUUUAAUAUUAUAAGUUUAUAACUGACGACAAAAGUAUGG